CCUUCAGCAGGUCUUCAGAGGAUCUUCUUCAGUGUCUCUGAGUUGUGUUGAUGAUGGACAGACAGCUGAUGGAUGGACAGUGAAGAGGACCAGAGGAGGAACAGAGGGUUCAUGGUUCCUCCUGUCUAAUGGAAGUUACUUCUGUGAGAACUCAUCUGGACAGCAGAGCGAUGAAGUGUCCAUCAGUGUUUCAGGUAGAGACAGGGAGAUGUUCCAGCUGUGUCUCUGUGCAGAUGUUUCCAGAUGUUGGAUACAUGUCUGUCAGUGAGUUGAGAGUGUGAGAUCAGUUCUAAUAUUUUGGCAGCAUGUAUUCAGACUGGUGGAUGUUGUGAGAUUUGACCUGCUUAGAUUGUCGCUGUGACAGGAGGAGGGAGAGGCAGAGAGAGGAGCGGUGACACAGCUGCUGCUUAUUUCUCCUUUAAUGGACGUCAUGUUGGAGCUGGAACAGCAGCAGAGCUCGUCAUCAGAAGGGUCAAACAGGCUGAUGAAGGUCUCUACUCUUGUGCUACUGAAGCAUUUGGACCGUCUCCUCAGAGCUUUCUGAGGGUCAGAGAUCCUCCUCAGCACAGGAGCUCAGACUCCACUCCUCCUGUGAACUCUUCUGCUGACACUGCUUCAUCACCUCCUCAGGCACUGAUGUCGACUGCCUCGUGUGAAGAGGAAGAUUAUUCCAGAGGAGCCACGAUGGAGAACGCUCCGUCUCCUCAGUUUCAGCCCUGAUUUGGGGACUGAGAGCAACGACCGCUCAGCUGACCGGAGCGAACGAAGAACACGGUGAAGAACAGUUCCUGUUCUGUCAGUGACAUACAGGAAAGACAGACGAUGUCAGAGGAAACAUGGACUGGUUUAGGAGGAAGUAGCACCAGUUUAGUGUGAUGGUUUAGUCAGAGUGGGAGCUAAAAGUGAACCUAUAGACAGAGCUCAGAGGAGUGUGAUGGUCCCCAGUUCCAGAAACGGUGGCAGAGCCGAGAUUAAUAACAACUAAGAGGAUAUUUGCACAAAUGGAAGAAAGCAGUCUUACAUAUUUGUUUAAUAUGAGCGUUGAAGGACAUGUCCUGGUCAAAAAUGACUCCAAGGUUCCUCACAGCGUUACUGGAGGCCAAGGUAAUGCCAUCCAGAGUAAGAAUCUGCUUAGAUACCAUAUUUCUAAGCUUUUCAGGGCCGAGUACAAUAACCUCAGUUUUAUCUGAAUUAAGAAGCAGAAAGUUAG
ensembl:lncRNA